CCCAUGUCUGCCAGGCUGGUACAGACUGACAGGCGUGUGCACGGAUCCAGGCAGGAGGAACAUGUUCAGUCAAUCGCUCUGGAACAAACAGUGAUGCCCAAAGGAGCUGUGAAUGACAGAGCCAUCAGCACACCAAAAGGUGUCAACGUCAAUUUAACUUUUGAUGAAGGAUUCAGCGCAAUCUUCAGUGACAAAGGAACAAGUCUUGUCGGGAGACCAGU